GGUUGUGGCUCAGAGGUAGAGUGCCUGCCUAGCAUGCGUAAGGCACUGGGUUCAAUCCUCAGCACCA
rnacentral:tRNA from 1 species